AUGGACCAAAUUGAGAGCAGUCUCAUUCAGAAAGGUGUGAAGUGGACGUUCAAUCCUCCAGCUGGUGCCCACCAUGGAGGCAUCUGGGAGCGCAUAAUAAGAAUGGUGAAAAGGGUCUUGUCCUCAAUAACAAACCAGCAGUCUUUGGAUGAUGAAGGUCUAGUCACAGUGAUGUGCGAGGUUGAAUCCAUCCUAAACAGCCGUCCCUUGACAACCGUUUCUAGUGACCCCAAUGACUUGGAACCACUGACACCUAAUCACCUAAUGCAGCUUAAGGUCCAGCCCUUGCUUCCACCAGGAAUAUUCAAACAGGAAGAUGUGUACGCCAGAAGGCGAUGGCGACAGAUACAGUAUAUCGCAGAUCUUUUCUGGACACGAUGGUUACAGGAAUAUGUUCCACUCAUGCAAGAACGAUCCAAAUGGUCCCGCAUCCGGCUGAACUUCUCUAUGGGAGACGUAGUAGUGAUCGCUGAUGCUGCAGCGCCACGAGGCUCAUGGGUGCUUGGAGGAGUCAUCGAAGCCAUAACAGAAUCUGAGGGCCUUGUUCGCUCUGUGAGAUUGCAAACUAGAACCAACCAGCUCCUAAGGCCAAUCAGCAAGAUCUACUUGUUGGUAAAAGGUUCUUUCUCUUUCGGCCCAAAUCAAGUCCAUUGCUGGAAAGCUUCUUACAGUAGUUUAUGAAAACAGGUAAGUGUAAUGCUUUUUCUUUAAACAUCUCAAACUUCUGGAGUGUAUUGAUGUAUUAUUUGUUUUGAUUAUUAACAUAUAUUAUCUAUAGUCCACAGGAGGAAGUUGUUGUGUGUUGUGACUCUGUGCGGCGGCUGCCUCCUCCAAAUUUCUCCUGUAACGUGGCUGUUGGAGAUGAGGUGGAGGUGAGAACUACCAGUAUAACUGAUGAUUCAGUUUUUAUGUCCAUUGUCUCACAGGUUUUCUCCAGGCUUGGUGAUCAGGAACCAUUUGGCUGGUGGCUGGCACAGAUCAAAAUGAUUAUAGGAGAGGUAAUUCAGAUGUUGCUGCAGAAUCAGAAGCCCUUACUCAGAAGCUGGAGUGGAUUUUUUUUUUUAAAAAGCACAAAAAAUAAUUCAGCUUCACUACUAAUGAUUCAUUUUCAGAGGGAUGGUAAUAAAAAAGCUUCCUUUCGUACACUUUUCCCAGUGGUAUCUGAUUGAAUACAUGGAUGGAUUCCAGGAGUUUGUCAAAUCAGGGUCCAUCAGGAAUAAGAAUACGGACACUUUCUGCACCGUAGAAAGGCUCAUGCAGAUCUUCUGCUUAGAAGAGCCAAGAGUCAGACUGCAGGUGAGCGCUCAGAGCGUACGCUCCACAUACUGUAGGUGACACGAAGAAGUGCACAAGCAGAUGUGAA
rnacentral:lncRNA from 1 species